UACGUAGGGGGCAAGCGUUGUCCGGAAUCAUUGGGCGUAAAGAGCGUGUAGGCGGCUCGAUAAGUCCGCUCUGAAAGCCCGGGGCUCAACCCCGGGAGGCGGGCGGAUACUGUCGAGCUGGAGUCCGGAAGAGGCGAGUGGAAUUCCUGGUGUAGCGGUGAAAUGCGCAGAUAUCAGGAGGAACACCAAUGGCGAAGGCAGCUCGCUGGGACGGUACUGACGCUGAGACGCGAAAGCGUGGGGAGCAAACAGG
rnacentral:rRNA from 1 species